GACGAACGCUGGCGGCGUGCUUAACACAUGCAAGUCGAGCGAUGAAGCUCCUUCGGGAGUGGAUUAGCGGCGGACGGGUGAGUAACACGUGGGUAACCUGCCUCAUAGAGGGGAAUAGCCUUUCGAAAGGAAGAUUAAUACCGCAUAAGAUUGUAGUAUCGCACGAUGCAGCAAUUAAAGGAGUAAUCCGCUAUGAGAUGGACCCGCGUCACAUUAGCUAGUUGGUGAGGUAACGGCUCACCAAGGCGUCGAUGCGUAGCCGACCUGAGAGGGUGAUCGGCCACAUUGGGACUGAGACACGGCCCAGACUCCUACGGGAGGCAGCAGUGGGGAAUAUUGCACAAUGGGGGAAACCCUGAUGCAGCAACGCCGCGUGAGUGAUGACGGUCUUCGGAUUGUAAAACUCUGUCUUCAGGGACGAUAAUGACGGUACCUGAGGAGGAAGCCACGGCUAACUACGUGCCAGCCGCCGCAGUAA
rnacentral:rRNA from 1 species